GUCACGCUGUUCAGUUUACUGUAAUAGCAUUGAAAUGAGGAUGUAAUGUGCAAGAUAUUGAAAGAUGGUUCAACUGAUGGAACAUAAUCCAACCACAAUAAAAAGAUUUGGAUUGCGCAAGUUUUGCAGUGCUGCCUUUUACCUGAUGGUGAAACUAGUUCCGGCAAUAAAUCCGAGUCAGGUUCUGGCGGGGAACAAGCAUGACAUAAAGCCUGUGCUUGAUGCCGUCAUCAUUUCUGCCUGCAAAGGUUAUGUCUGGAUGCGGUGCAAAGACCACAGCAAAACAGUUCCAGAUGACACCUUCUUCAACAAGGCCAUGACACUCCAAAAAUUAAUAGACUACUCCAGGAAAUAAAUGAAAUCAUCUUGUUUAAAUUGAGACUAAAAAUAGGGGGUGUUAGAUUGUUUAAUUUUUACCCUGUCAUAAUGUGAUCAAUUCAACAACAACAAAA